CAGUGCCUUCACCUCUGUGUAAACCACCAGGUCUUACCAGUGCUGGUUUAAACAUUCAGCACCAAAGCCGGUGGACAGCGGAACAUAUGAGGAAGUUCUGGGGUGAGAUUGAACACUAAGGGCAUUGAGCAGCUGGACACAGAGGGAGCACUAGGGGUAUGGGUUCAGCACUAGGGACAGCAGGCAGCUGGGCACAAAAGGGAGGCACUAAGGUGUGUGUUCAGCACCAAGAACAGCAGGCAGCGGGACACAAAAGGGAAGUGCUAGGGAUGUGGGUUCAGCACCAGGG
rnacentral:lncRNA from 1 species